rnacentral:rRNA from 1 species
UACGUAGGGGGCAAGCGUUGUCCGGAUUUAUUGGGCGUAAAGAGCGUGUAGGCGGCCUGGUAGGUCAGCUGUGAAAACUCGAGGCUCAACCUCGAGACGCCGGUUGAAACCAUCAGGCUAGAGUCCGGAAGAGGAGAGUGGAAUUCCCGGUGUAGCGGUGAAAUGCGCAGAUAUCGGGAAGAACACCCGUGGCUAAGGCGGCUCUCUAGUACGGUACUGACGCUGAGGCGCGAAAGCGUGGGGAGCGAACAGG